rnacentral:rRNA from 1 species
GACGAACGCUGGCGGCGUGCCUAAUACAUGCAAGUCGAACGCAGUGGGGACGGGUUCGUAACACGUGGGUAACCUCCCAUCAGAGGGGAUAACACUUGGAAACAGGUGCUAAACCGAUACUGAUGGAUGAACCCGCUGUGCAUUAGCGAGUUGGUGAGGUAACGGCUCACCAAGGCCACGAUGCAUAGCCGACCUGAGAGGGUGAGCGGCCACACUGGAACUGAGACACGGCCCAGACUCCUACGGGAGGCAGCAGUAGGGAAUCUUGGGCAAUGGACGAAAGUCUGACCGAGCAACGCCGCGUGAGUGAAGAAGGUUUUCGGAUCGUAAAACUCUGUUGGUAGAGAAGCGGUAUCUAACCAGAAAGCCACGGCUAACUACGUGCCAGCAGCCGCGGUAAUUC